CACCUGUUCGUGUAUCGACGUAUCCUCAAAAUUAUGUUUAACAAACCUGAACAUUGUUGUUAUUCGGAUUAAAGAAGACUUAACACAUGUUACAUGACUCAUAAAAAUACUGGCGGAAUAAUGACACACCUGUAAACAAAGAUGAGUUUCACGAAAUUUGAACUCAGCACCAUUUCACUUUCACUUGCGGUUUGGAUAGUGAAUUGUGCAGGUUUACCAUGGCCAGAUUUCGAGAGUGGAUGGUUGCCUAUUAUAAACGGCCUCGAACAUGUUGCUAGACUUAACAUUGACCAUGGUUUAGGAGAAAUUCCUGUUCUGGUUGAUGUGUCGGUAAAGAUCAAGGAAAAUAUAUUUCCGG